GGGCGUUUAGUAUUUGGUCGUAGACCCGAAACCAGGUGAUCUACCCUUGGUCAGGUUGAAGUUCAGGUAACACUGAAUGGAGGACCGAACCGACUUACGUUGAAAAGUGAGCGGAUGAACUGAGGGUAGCGGAGAAAUUCCAAUCGAACCUGGAGAUAGCUGGUUCUCUCCGAAAUAGCUUUAGGGCUAGCCUCAAGUGAUGAUUAUUGGAGGUAGAGCACUGUUUGGACGAGGGGCCCCUCUCGGGUUACCGAAUUCAGACAAACUCCGAAUGCCAAUUAAUUUAACUUGGGAGUCAGAACAUGGGUGAUAAGGUCCGUGUUCGAAAGGGAAACAGCCCAGACCACCAGCUAAGGUCCCAAAAUAUAUGUUAAGUGGAAAAGGAUGUGGCGUUGCCCAGACAACUAGGAUGUUGGCUUAGAAGCAGCCAUCAUUUAAAGAGUGCGUAAUAGCUCACUAGUCGAGUGACACUGCGCCGA
rnacentral:rRNA from 1 species